ensembl:lncRNA
GGUGUAGGUGGAAUGCUCCCUCUGUUCCGGUACUCUUCUGUUCCCUUGGCAACCAUAUUGUUUUGGAUCUGUACAUUCCAGCUGAAUGCCCCAGACAGGAGUUCAGUUUUACAUCAAUGUGUGUGUGUGUGUGUGUGUGUGUGGAGAGCUGUAUGUUUGAGGUCCUGCAGUGUUGUAUGCUGUGUGUGUGUGUGUGUGUGUGUGUGUGUGUGUGUGUGUGUGUGUGUGUGUGUGUAGAGCUGUAUGUUUGAGGUCCUGCAGUGUUGUAUGCUGUGUGUGUGUGUGUGUGUGUGUGUGUGUGGUUUCCUGUACCAACACAGUGCUUCCUGCUGAACUAGGGCCGGCCACUAGGGGCAGUUUGGCAUUCGGACCGGCCAUUGGUGGGUUUCCAGAAGGGUUGUGGCGGAACCUCCUUGGUUACAGGAUGAAGACUUGUGUUGUGUUAAACCCGCUCUGUCACCAUGGUUACAGGAUGGAGACUUGUGUUGUGUUAAACCCUCUCUGUCACCAUGGUUACAGGAUGGAGACUUGUGUUGUGUUAAACCCGCUCCGUUACCAUGGUUACAGGAUGGAGACUUGUGUUGUGUUAAACCCGCUCUGUUACCAUGGCCGCUGUACGAUGACACCUUUGACUUCUGUUGCCCCAGAACUCCACUCAUUUAAUUGACUAAUCAUUCGCUACUUCAUUUGUUCCUGCUCAGCACCCUUCCUAAAGCACCCUCUAGUCCUGUCAGUAACAUUGGUCUCAUGUGGUCUCAUGUGGUCUAUGACAGACUCCCUGGUCUCAUGUGGUCUCAUGUGGUCUAUGACGUGGACUAGGACAGACUCAGUCCUGGUCUCAUGUGGUCUAUGACGUGGACUAGCACAGACUCAGUCCUGGUCUCAUGUGGUCUCAUGUGGUCUAUGACGUGGACUAGCACAGACUCAGUCCUGGUCCUGCUGUAGUGCCCCCUAGUGGUGGUCUCUUCAAUAACUCUGUAAAUAACACUAACGCCUUACAGUUGUAGUCGAGUUUUCUACAAGCAGAGCUGUGUGUGUGUGUGUGUGUGUGUGUGUGUGUGUGUGUGUGUGUGUGUGUGUGUGUGUGUGUGUGUGUGUGUGUGUGUGUGUGUGUGUGUGUGUGUGUGUGUGUGUGUGUGUGUGUGUGUGUGUGUGUGUGUGUGUGUGUGUGUGUGUGUGUGUGUGUGUGUCUGUACUCCCUCUGAACUUAGAGGUUGUGUGUGUGUGUGUGUGUGUGUGUGUGUGUGUGUGUACUCCCUCUGAACAAAUACAUCUUAGAGGGUGUGUGUGUGUGUGUGUGUGUUUGGGUUGUAGUUGGCAUGUCAGAUGGGGACAGGGUUGUAGGAAACGGAAAAGGCUGAACAACAGCUGCAUUGAGCUCCUGUUAAGUUGUGUUGUGUUUGUUUCACACCCGCAUACCUACCAACGACCCCUCACCACGCCGGGUGAACAUCCGGGCCGUCCUCGUGUGUUUAUCUGUUUGUUUGUUGUUUUAUUUUCACUUUUGUUUGUUGUCCACAAGCCUUGAAAGAGCCAAGUCAGAGAUUUGCCAAGUAGGAUACACAUUUCAAACUCAGGCAGCACUUUGUGGGACCUAAUGAGGCAGGUGUGUGUGUGUGUGUACCUUUGGGUUGUCCACGCUGUUGAGACACUCAAGACCAGGUCAGAAUGACAAGAGCAACCCGUGCUGACUGGACUGAUGACCGUAAUAGUUAUUCAGGCCUUAGGUCAGAUCUGACGAGAAGCCCUAGGGGUCGAGGGUCAAGGGUUAGCAGAGGGUCAGUGGCCAUGGGAACGGCUGCGGUCCGCCCUGGUCCAAGGCAAGGCCAGACAUGAGCUGGGUCAGCACCAGAUCAGUGCCGCUGUGGGCCAGUUCCGUGUCGGCUGUGGGCCGGUUCUGUGCUGGCUGUGGGCCAGUUCCGUGCCGGCUGUGGGCCGGUUCUGUGCCGAGCCGUGACCAGACAUGGUCAUGUGCCUCAUGUUUCCCCACGGAGCCUCUGACUGGGUCAGGGAGAGGAGAGGAGACUGGGUCGGGGAGAGGAGUAUUCCACUGCGACGCUCGGAGACGCUGGGCCUCGCCGGACACACGGAACGAGUCCCAAUCCCUAAUAUGGGCCUGGGUGCACCGUGGUGGAGGAAGAUCACCAAACGCAACCCGUGUGGAGCUCUUUUCACAGAACUCACGAAAGGUCUUUAUUCUACUUUUAGUUUCCACACCCCCCCCCCCCCACCGUGUUCAGAUGCUUGCCGAUGUGGUCGACCCGCCUGAUGUGUUCUCCCUGCUCCACGUCUCUGCUGUGCUUCAGCCUUUGUUCUUUUGAAAUAUCUGUUGAGAAGGAUGUUUUUGUGACGUUUGUGAUUAAUGGUCAGCCAUGUAAUGUGUGUUUGGAGUCUGUUGGGUUGAAGGAGGGUCCUGUUUGGAGUCUGUUGGGUUGAGGAGUGUCCUGUUUGGAGUCUGUUGGGUUGAGGAGUGUCCUGUUUGGAGUCUGUUGGGUUGAGG